rnacentral:rRNA from 1 species
CUGGGCUAGAAUGCCUCUGACAACCCUAGAGAUAGGGCUUCCUAGGGAAACCUAGGCAGAGUGCAAGGUGCUGCAUGGCUGUCGUCGGCUCGUAUCGUGAGAUGUUGGGUUAAGUCCCGCAACGAGCGCAACCCUUAUCGAUAGUUGCUAGCGGUUCGGCCGAGCACUCUAUUGAGACUGCCGUUGACAAAACGGAGGAAGGUGGGGAUGACGUCAAGUCCUCAUGGCCUUUAUGUCCAGGGCUACACACGUGCUACAAUGGCAAGUACAAAGCGCUGCAAACUCGCGAGAGGGAGCCAAUCGCAAAAAGCUUGUCUCAGUUCGGAUUGGAGUCUGCAACUCGACUCCAUGAAGCUGGAAUCGCUAGUAAUCGCAGAUCAGCACGCUGCGGUGAAUACGUUCCC